AGCAGGUGCCCUACGGGGCUUAAUAGGGAAGACCGGUGUAACGCCGGCGCGGUCCCGCCACUGUAACGGAGAGCGACUCUGCGAGCGCAUUGCGAUAGCGAUGCCGGCCACUGGGGUAAGACCUGGGAAGGCGCAGGGAAGUGAUGAACCGGAGCCAGGAGAACUGCCUGUUUAA
rnacentral:ncRNA from 1 species